UACGUAGGGGGCAAGCGUUGUCCGGAAUUAUUGGGCGUAAAGAGCUCGUAGGCGGCCUGUUGCGUCCGCUGUGAAAGCCCGGGGCUUAACCCCGGGUCGCAGUGGAUACGGGCAGGCUAGAGGUAGGUAGGGGAGAAUGGAAUUCCCGGUGUAGCGGUGAAAUGCGCAGAUAUCGGGAGGAACACCGGUGGCGAAGGCGGUUCUCUGGGCCUUACCUGACGCUGAGG
rnacentral:rRNA from 1 species